GAUGAACGCUGGCGGCGUGCCUAAUACAUGCAAGUCGAGCGAAGCGGGGACGGGUGAGUAACACGUGGAUAACCUCCUAUAAGACUGGGAUAACUUCGGGAAACCGGAGCUAAACCGGAUAAUUAUAGAUGGAUCCGCGCUGCAUUAGCUAGUUGGUAAGGUAACGGCUUACCAAGGCAACGAUGCAUAGCCGACCUGGUAGGGUGAUCGGCCAACCGGGAGAUGCGCCACGGUCCAGCCUCCGACGGUAGGCAACAGUAGGGACUCUUCCGCAAGGGGCGAAAGCCUGACGGAGCAACGCCGCGUGAGUGAGGAAGGUCUUCGGAUCGGAAAACUCUGUUAUUAGGGAAGCGGUACCUAAUCAGAAAGCCACGGCUAACUACGUGCCAGCAGCCGCGGUAAUAC
rnacentral:rRNA from 1 species